GAGACACACACACACACACACACACACACACACACACACACACACAGAGUCAGUCAGUCAGCAUUACCUGCACAUAUUGUUGCUUUGAGAGUCCUGAUGCUUUCUUAAGAUUGCACAACAUAAUUACCUUACUGACAAACUUUAACACAAGGGAAUAGUGCUGCAAAGGAAUAAGCAAAUGGGCACUAUGACCAAAAUCAACAUUGCCUGUGAAACUGACUGAGACUGAAUUGGAUGAAAAGGAGAGUCCCUCGUCUGCCCAUGCAUAAUCUCUCAGAAGACCAACCCCUCGUCCUAGCUGUGGGAGACGAGCAACACUGCAAAGUAGGGGAUGGCCUACAGGGGUGAAGUACAGCGGGAACUUCUAGUGCCCCAGGACCAAUGCUAUAGCUGUGAAGGCCCUGUAAAUACUACGAAAAGUGGCAGCUAACUGGGCUCCCGUGAAGCUAUGAUAGGCAUAGCUAGCCAACAGUGGAUCAAACCAGUUUUGGACAGGGGAACUAGCCUCGGAAAGGAUACCAUUCAUUCCACCUGGCAACCAACAGCACUGCUCAGCCAGACUGUGACACUGGAGCAAUUUACGUGGCCAGAGCAGUGUAGCUGCACGUUUGUGCGCGCACAGUGUUGAGUGCAAUCUGUAUUGCUCUGUGUCGAUUUUACUUCAUUCUUCAUUUAUAUUUUAGUUACAUAAAUUACAAUUUAUAUUAUAAAAUGGGUGACACACAAAAAUGAUUAAUUUAAUAAUAAUAAUAAUAAUAAUAAUAAUAAUAAUAAUAAUAACAGCAGACAAAUUGUUAUGUUAUACAAAGCUUUUUUAUCUUGCUCAAAUCUGAUAUUGCAAAUUUUAUUUUCAGCACUGAAUUAAGUACAGAAAGUGCUAACACAAAUAAAUAAGCACAGAUACACUCUUCCAUAAAUUACACAUAAGGUAAUGGUGUUACAGUAAAGUAUAUCAUACCAUAUUAGCUGUAAAUGUAUGUACAUAGAUCUUCAUGAGCAGAAGACCUUAGCGACAUAAGCUCGACAAAAUUAAAUGGCUCAAAAUAAAACAUAUUUUUUUACAGCAUAGUUAUUAUA